UUUGAGAUGGCCUCUCGCCCUAUUCAGUGUAACAGCUGUGGUAGUGGGUUUGGUCGCUCGCAUUUAAAUUGGAAGGGUAAUGGUGGACCGCACUUCUCCCUUAGUAGGACGUUGCGACCUGUCAAAUAAUAUCCUAAGUAUUUGGCUAAUUUGUCUGUUUUUAGGCAGUACUGAAAGGUAUUUCCUUUAACAGUUUUAGCCGUUUACAUACUGGAUAUAAUUGACAGUAACGAAUCAUGGUGUUGAGCCACUUACUUUGUAAGUGUCCUUUAUGGCUGUUUGCAAGUGGGUUGGUUAAUUAGUUUUAGUCGGAUUUUGGUCCGUCUAACUAUUCCGCCUACUGUUGGUAAACUGUUCCUUGGACAGUGCUUAUAACACCGGUCGGCAGCGAUUCAGGUUCAGGCUCUUAU
rnacentral:rRNA from 1 species